rfam:Schistosoma rodhaini strain Burundi genome assembly, scaffold: SROB_scaffold0000977
AUCCGGCUGACGAGUACCAGAUGGAACGAAAAGCGCGUCCUGGAU